UACGAAGGGGGCUAGCGUUGUUCGGAAUUACUGGGCGUAAAGGGCGCGUAGGUGGCUUGGCAAGUUGGGUGUGAAAGCCCAGGGCUCAACCCUGGAAUUGCACUCAAGACUGCUUUGCUUGAAUUCGGUAGAGGUUGGUGGAAUUCCCAGUGUAGAGGUGAAAUUCGUAGAUAUCGGGAGGAACACCAGUGGCGAAGGCGGCGACCUGGGCCAAUAUUGACGCUGAGGUGCGAAAGCGUGGGGAGCAAACAGG
rnacentral:rRNA from 1 species